rnacentral:rRNA from 1 species
AUAACUACGAGUGAAAGCUUAAAAUUUAAAAGACUUGACGGUACUUCACAUCAAUCUAGAGGAGCCUGUCCAAUAACCGAUAAUCCACGAUUAACCCAACCUCCUCUAGCCUAACAGUCUAUAUACCGCCGUCGCCAGCUUACCUUGUAAAAGAAACAAAGCAAGCCUAACAACACUACCUCUCUAACACGACAGGUCGAGGUGUAACUAAUGAAGAGGACAAGAUGGGCUACAUUUUCUAAGCUAGAAAAAACGAAUAAACCAUGAAAUUAGAAACUGAAGGCGGAUUUAGAAGUAAGCUAAGAAUAGAACACUUAACCGAAAUUAACGCAAUGAAGUGCGCACACACCGCCGGUCA